rnacentral:rRNA from 1 species
ACGAGGGGUGCAAGCGUUGUUCGGAAUCAUUGGGCGUACAGGGCGUGUAGGUGGUAUGUUAAGUCUGUUGUUAAAGACUCUGGCCUAACUGGGGAAGGGCAUUGGAAACUGGUGUACUAGAGUACGGAAGAGAGAAGUGGAAUUCUCGGUGUAGCGGUGAAAUGCGUAGAUAUCGGGAGGAACACCGAUGGCGAAGGCAGCUUCGUAGUCCGUUCCUGACGCUGAGGCGCGAAAGCGUGGGGAGCAAACAG